rnacentral:rRNA from 1 species
CCUACGGGUGGCAGCAGUGGGGAAUAUUGGGCAAUGGGCGCAAGCCUGACCCAGCAACGCCGCGUGAAGGAAGAAGGCUUUCGGGUUGUAAACUUCUUUUUUCAGGGAAGAGUAGAAGACGGUACCUGACGAAUAAGCCACGGCUAACUACGUGCCAGCAGCCGCGGUAAUACGUAGGUGGCAAGCGUUGUCCGGAUUUACUGGGUGUAAAGGGCGUGUAGCCGGGUUGACAAGUCAGAUGUGAAAUUCCAGGGCUCAACCCUGGAACUGCGUUUGAUACUGUUCUUCUUGAGUGAUGGAGAGGCAGGCGGAAUUCCGUGGGUAGCGGUGAAAUGCGUAGAUAUACGGAGGAACACCAGUGGCGAAGGCGGCCUGCUGGACAUUAACUGACGCUGAGGCGCGAAAGCGUGGGGAGCAAACAGGAUUAGAUACCCUAGUAGUC